rfam:Candidatus Carsonella ruddii DC, complete genome.
GGCUAAAUAACAUAUUGGUUAUGUAGUGGGUUGCAAACCCAUUUAAACUGGUUCGAUUCCAGUUUUAGCCU